GGCACUUUCAGCAAGCAGGUGUAGCCAACAGAAAAGGAUCUCUGUUGCUGCCCAAGGUCAGCUGACACUUGAUAUGGAUUAUGGUGUUGAUUGAUGCAGUCCUUUGAGCCGGUGGCGAUAGGAACAACAUGGACACCAAGUCGGGUUCACACAACGGCUUCUUUACUUUGGGCUUUUUCCCCUACAGCUCUCUUCCCCAGCAGCUUCUUCUACUACCUCCGUCCUUCUUGCAGCAAGGGCUAAACUCCUAUCCUCCUGCCAACUGACCUCAUCUCGCUCCACCCCACCUCAUCCAAUCAGAAUCACACACACUCCAGGCACAAGCUCAGGUCGGUCACCGAUAGGCUGACAGGUCCAGAUCAUGAGGAACAGUCCAGCCUGGCAGGCAGCCCAAGCAUGCAGCCUCACUGUGCAUGCUCAGGGAAGGCAGUAAACAUCUUGGCCCAUGCAGCCACACCUGCUUCCCGCAGUUGAUUAAGGCAUUUGGGUUGACUAGAAGUUAUUCCCACUCAUAGCUUUCACAUUGUCUCUUUAGUAUGACUUCUCUAUUAAAAAUGCCAACCUUUCAAUGGAUAUUACAUAUUUAAGGCUCCUCUAUUCUACUAAUUCUCCCAUGAUGUGAGGCCUGCCUUACAUUUUUGAUUCUGUGUGUUACCUGUAUG
ensembl:antisense